ACAAGAGCCCAACUCUCUGGUUACAUCCAUUCAGCCAAUUCCUUGUCCACUGAACAGUCCAUCCAUCAAAUCCAUGUCUCUCCAGUUAGAAGACAAUGAUGUCUUGUGCCACCAUGUCAAAUGCCUUACAGAAAUCUUGAUAGAUGACAUCUGUUGGUCUUCUGUUGUUGACAGUUGCCAUCACUCCAUCAUAGGAUUGGUCCUGACAACCAUACUGUCACUUCUCUGGAUCUUAUCUGACUUAGAUAUUAAGAAGCAAGGGCGAAAGAAAAAUGGACAAAGAACAGGAUCAAGACAGAGUGGGAAAAUGCAUACAGCAAGAAGACAGUAACUUAUUUAAGAGAUGGAAGGUGCUGCAGUUCAGUAAUGAAUUUGUUGUACACUGAAUCCAGACUGAAUCUCCAGGAGAGGGAGACAAUGAAUAGGCCAGUAGAAAGGAUUGAAUGCUGAUGUCAAUUAGACUGAAACUAUGAAAUAAAUGAGGGGCUUCAGUAGUUAUUCUUCAUAGCCACUUCAGUUUAGUAUGCAAGGGAAUGUUUCUGUUUUAUUGCAGUAGUAAAUUUCAGAGCCCAG